rnacentral:misc_RNA from 1 species
UCAAUUAAUCAACAUACAUUUUAAUAUCAACAAUGGAAAAUCGACUGAUCGGAUUAGGGAAAAGAAAAAAAAACCUCAGUUAGUCAGUUACCAUAUGUUAGAAUUUGAGAAAUCUAAGCCUACUUUAAUGUGAUAGCUGAUACCAUUAGCCCUUAUGAAAUAUAAUUUCAGCAAGUUAUAAAAUGCUACUAGCUCACCCAGACUAAUAUGUGGGUUUCUCACGUGUGCUAGAAUGAGCGUUUUGAGCAGUCUGCCAGGCAAAGGGAUUGGUGUUGCUAAUAGUUCCCACUUGAUUUAUUUCUUUGCCCUGAGUAGUUGAGAGGCUCGGCCCCAAUUAUGAUGCUGAUGAUCAUAUUAUUGUGACGCCAUCUCAAUUUAAAAUGGUGUUACAAGGUCCUCUAGUUUAUUUGCACUGUGCACAAAUGAUUAUAGAUGAGGGUUGUGCUUUCCUGGACAAUUGUUAUUUCUAUCAUUAGGGGUGCGCUUUAUGCCUUGACAUCCAUGGGAAGGUUUUGCUUAUGUCCCUAUGAUUUGCUAUCUUAAUUUUUUGAGAGUUUGUCAUUGGCCUUUGUAUUACCUAAAACUGCCAUUAAUACUAACAGGUUUCUUCUAAAUAUUAGAUUAAAUUCUGUUCUCUCUGAUUUUCCUUUAGUAGAUUUACGUCUGGUCCUCCUGUAUUUCUGCUGUCAUGUUUUACCUUUAUCCUGUCAACUUAUGGUGCUUGCUGUUACAUCUAUUCAGUGCUAGAUACCUUACAUUUAAAAACUAUCUGAAGCAGAAUGUUUGCAAGCAAUAGCAUUGCUAGAAGGUAAGAAGGUUUCAAUUGUGCCUUUACCCGGAACAAUUUGUUGAUUAGACGUUCUAAUUUUGUUGCGCAUUUUUUUUCUUGUGAAAACUUUUUAAGAACUUGAGGAAAAACUUAACGAACAUCCUCAAUAAACAAACUGUUUUUACACUGGUAAUUUGUUGUAUGAAGUACAUAUCAUUACAAUGUGAGUACACCUAUAUGUGGAUUGGUAAAUGGGAAUGCUUAGUUCUUCUUACUAGCUUGCAUUUUUAGUUUUUUACCUAAAUGCAAGCAUGCACAUUACAUUGUUUGUAUGCAAACUUCUCUGUGUAAAAGUUGCUGCUGUGUACUUUUUAUUUAUUGAUUAAUUGAUUAUUUAAAAGAACUCAUAUCAGUUCCCUUUUCUGUUGGAUUGCUUACCUUCCUGAAUAGCACAAACCUUUGCAGGUUAUAUAUCUAUCUGGUGGUGUCUG